CAUCGCCCGCUCCAUCGCCCUGUGGUGGUGCCGUACAUAACGCGUCUGCACGCGCUUCUUCCCCGUCCAAACUUCCUUGGUUGGAUGCCUUUGCCGUAAAAGAAACUAAGCGGCCCUCGACGGUGGCUGCCAACACCGGAUAUGUGCCUUCCAUCUCCCGGCUGACCGUGUUUGCCAAGCCGGGAAGGCCCCGCCAAGGCCUCCGCGGGAUGAUGGGCCAACAGAAAGUCAACUGUUGACUUGCUUAUGAGUCCAUCGCUAGUUACACCCCGCAACCUGUUCCUGUCACCUCGUGUGUCAUCUGGGGGUGCCUCACAUGAGGUGCUGUGCAACAAGCCAUUAGCUUGAUGAAUGAAAGGCUUUAUUAUGCAAAGGUGCCAAUAAGCAACCUCAAGGGAAUAUUCAAGAAUCCUUGGUGUGUUUAGAGUUUUAUUGCAGGAAAGCUGCAUGAUGCAAUUAAAGAAGCAAAUGAAACUCAAGAUCUCCUUGUGUGGCACCAUGCUGCAGAUUGCAGUGUUACCAUUUAUUAGCAGGGUUAAAAUUCUUAGUUACGGAAGCGUCUUGGUUUGAAAGACAGGUGUUUGCU